rnacentral:rRNA from 1 species
AAAACGGAACCAGAUUCAACGGCCGCGGUAUCCUAACCGNGUCAAGGUAGCGUAAUCACUUGUCUUUAAUUGAGGAAUGAAUGGCUUCACGAAGACUGACUGCUCCUUUUUCUAAUCAAUGAAACUAAUCUCCCGUGAAGAACGGGUGGUCUAUAAGACGAGAAGACCCUAUGGAGCUUUAAACAACUGAAAUACCUGCUUUCGAAAGCUAAACCAAGCAUGCUAAUUCUAGUUUUAGGUUGGGGUGACCACGGAGUAAAAAUCAACCUCCACGCCGAACACAACUUUAUUCAUCAACAUAUUGACCUUCAUUGACCCAAUUAUUUGAUCAACGAACCAAGUUACCCUAGGAUAACAGCGCAAUCUACUUCAGAGCUCCUAUCGACAAGUAGGUCCCCCCCCUCGAUGUUGGAUCAGGGUAUCCCCUAUG